AGAGUUUGAUCCUGGCUCAGGAUGAACGCUAGCGACAGGCUUAACACAUGCAAGUCGAGGGGCAGCACAGGUAGCAAUACCGGGUGGCGACCGGCGCACGGGUGAGUAACGCGUAUGCAACUUGCCUAUCAGAGGGGGAUAACCCGGCGAAAGUCGGACUAAUACCGCAUGAAGCAGGGAUCCCGCAUGGGAAUAUUUGCUAAAGAUUCAUCGCUGAUAGAUAGGCAUGCGUUCCAUUAGGCAGUUGGCGGGGUAACGGCCCACCAAACCGACGAUGGAUAGGGGUUCUGAGAGGAAGGUCCCCCACAUUGGAACUGAGACACGGUCCAAACUCCUACGGGAGGCAGCAGUGAGGAAUAUUGGUCAAUGGGCGAGAGCCUGAACCAGCCAAGUAGCGUGAAGGAUGACUGCCCUAUGGGUUGUAAACUUCUUUUAUAAAGGAAUAAAGUCGGGUAUGGAUACCCGUUUGCAUGUACUUUAUGAAUAAGGAUCGGCUAACUCCGUGCCAGCAGCCGCGGUAAUACGGAGGAUCCGAGCGUUAUCCGGAUUUAUUGGGUUUAAAGGGUGCGUAGGCGGCCUUUUAAGUCAGCGGUGAAAGUCUGUGGCUCAACCAUAGAAUUGCCGUUGAAACUGGGGGGCUUGAGUAUGUUUGAGGCAGGCGGAAUGCGUGGUGUAGCGGUGAAAUGCAUAGAUAUCACGCAGAACCCCGAUUGCGAAGGCAGCCUGCCAAGCCAUUACUGACGCUGAUGCACGAAAGCGUGGGGAUCAAACAGGAUUAGAUACCCUGGUAGUCCACGCAGUAAACGAUGAUCACUAGCUGUUUGCGAUACACUGUAAGCGGCACAGCGAAAGCGUUAAGUGAUCCACCUGGGGAGUACGCCGCCUUUCGCCUUGCCAACAAGACAGCGCAAGCCAAAGAUGCACUCGAACGCGCCAAACUGGAAUUGCAAGACGUACUGAUCGGACAGGGCUACAAACUGGAAGAUUCUACAAAAGUACCGCCCGCAACCAUGCAGUUAGUCAAGGUAAAAAGCGGGUAUGACCAGGCACUGAUCUCUUGGCAGCUUGCCGAAUACGAACAACGAAAGGCAGUCCUGACCGCCCCUUUCGACGGUGUCGUCGCUAACCUGUUCGCCAAACAGUUCAACACGGCUUCUACCUCUG
rnacentral:rRNA from 1 species